rnacentral:misc_RNA from 1 species
GAACGCACAUUGCGCCCUUUGGUAUUCCGAAGGGCAUGCCUGUUCGAGCGUCAUUUCAAACCUCAAGCUCACGCUUGGUAUUGGGCGUCGUCCGCUAGGACGUGCCAGAAACCCGUAGGCAGUGGUGCCCGCCUCCCAGCGUAGUCAAUCUACCCGCUUCGGAGCGCGCGGUGCCGCCCGCCAGACGAACAACCCACUAUUUUCUAUGGUUUGACCUCGGAUCAGGUAGGGAUACCCGCUGAACUUAAG